UUAUUGAUGUAUUUUAUGUCGUAGGAAAAAACUUCAAAACCUUUAAGCUUGUGUUAACCACAGACCUUAUUUCAGGCAUCUAACUAAAAACCCAUUGACUUCCAGAAGAGGGAACAGGAAGUGCUAAAAUGCUCAAACUCAUUUUCGGGUUUUAGGAUAGGUCAACCGAACCAAACUCUUCGGUCUCCGCUCCAGUUCCGCUCUAACUAGCUUUGUUUGAGGGUGUGCCAAACUAGCAGCUAUAGGCAAAAGUUGUUACUUGGUGACAUCACCACGUUACGGAAGAAAAGGCGGGACUUCCAGCAAGGCGUUUAAGGCAGUUCAGAAGCAGUGUUCCUGUCGGGGAGAGUAACUCCCUUUGGCAUGGACUUUGGGCUUUGUCACUUUGCAGACCUUUUACAUGCACAAAAAACUAUAACACUCUAAAGGAAAGG